GAACAUGAUAGAUUAAAUUUACUUCUUGGGAGGAAAUAUAAAUCAGGCUCACUUGGCUUAACAAGCUCCCUAGCAGUUGUCACGUUUGGAAUGAAUGAAGUGGAAAGGAGAAGCAGAGAGAGUAGGAGGAAUGUCUUUGGAAGAAGCAUUUUCCUUUUAUCCGCUCUACCUCAUUCUCCUGAAAUGCGAUGAUCCUUCUACCAAG
rnacentral:lncRNA from 1 species